CUAAAAAUGACUGUGGGGCCCUUUCAAGAAGAUGCACUUAUGAAAAUGUUUUACCUUCAGUUCCUUAUUUCAUCUCAAGCGGUGUUUUGUCUCCAGGAUUAUAGACUCGUCGUAAAUCCAUGUAAGAUAGAAACAGUAAUUUAAUGAAAAUUAAGCAACCAAAAAUUUGUUUCAUUAAUUCAGAAUUGCUUAUAAAUUAUAACGUUUUUGUUUACAGAUUCUCCUGCUCGUUGCCGCAUGCUUCAUCUUUGUAGAUGCACUAAAAUAUAACAAUUUCUUUUGGGAUGAUUACAGGUAUUUUAUGAUUGAGAAAAUUCAGUAUAUAAUAGUGCAAACAUUUUUGUGAGCAACGAGUUCAUGCGUCAAAUUUUCCAUGCGCCAAACAAAAUAUUCAAGCUCAAAUAUUGAGUUGAGGAGCCGGUACGUUGUUCGAAAGCAGGUUAGCUUAAUCCUAGGCCAGUUAACAAUAAACUUCUAUGCAAACCUCCUAACAGCUUAUGUGUAAGCUUGGAAAUAAUUUUCCAGAAUUCUUGUCUGCAUCAAUUAGAGUUUAUAUUCUAAGUUUUGAAAAUUAACGUGCGCUUAAAUAUACGGAGCAACGCAACGAGUUAAAUUAAAUCCAGGAUUAUAUCUAAUCGAGGUUUGAACAACCAGGAUACGGGUCUAUUACAAUAAUUAGGUAAAUUGUAGAAACUCCGUCAAUUGAGUUUCAUUUUUGACCUCUGGUGUGAGGGAGAACUUGAAAGAAAAAGCUUAAGGAAAAAUAUUGAGAAAGAUAAACUGUAUGCCUGAAGAAUACAAAGAGAAUUUCGACGUUUCGAGCGACGACUCGAAACGUCAAAGUUCUGGUUGUAUUUUCAGGUAGUUGUGCACCUAUUAUUUUAAUCCGAAGCUUUUUUACUCUUUGCUCCACCUACACUGGCACAGACCGAUCAAGUAGUUUUAAAUAUCAUGUCGCUAGUGCAGUACUUCACUAGACACUGUAUCGUAUUGAUUGGCGAUCUUUCAGAUUGGUGUGGAUUAGUGUGUUUUUCCAAACUCAAGUUAUCACAAUAUAGUUCUAUAAAACGGUUUGAAAUGUUGGCUGUGUAACGCGUAUGUAAAACUCUCCAACUAAAAAGCAGGUUUAGACUAAUGACCACUUCGAUGUUUUGAGGUAUCUAUGAAAUAUAUGAACAACGAGAGCGAGUGUUUCACCGGGAUAUCCAAACACGAGAAAACAAUGUAUGAGAACACGAGCGCGAAGCGCGAGUGUUUUCAUACAUUGUUUUCGAGUGUUUGGAUAUCCCAGUGAGACACGAGCUCGAGUUGUUUAUAUGGCUUCUCAAAUGAAUCGAGACGUAACAGAAUGUUUUCGUUUCCUGAUUUGAAUAGAAUUCUUAACCAAGCAUAACGUAAUUAGGAAUUCUAUUCAAGUAAUUUUGCAUGCGUAAUUAAGAUAUUUGAUGAAAACACUAGUGACUUUCAUCAAGUAUCCAAAUGGCAUCUUGUGAUCAAAUAGGUGAUUAUCAUUGGCUGAAUUAUCAUGAAUUAUUAAUGAAUUUGAGAAAUAUUGUAUAAUUAACAGAGAUCUUGAACUGACAAAGCGUGGAGGAAAGACGAAUUCGAAAUACCUGAAAGAAAAGUAUAUCACAACAGGUAAACAACGGUUCGGAGUAUUGGCCGCGUAUACGUAACGUGUAUGUAAAAAAAUCCGUGAAGCUGGUUUGCUAUAUAUAAAUUAUUAAUUUAAUUUUUUUAGGUAUCUAUGUACAAACAGCGUUUAACAUAAAAAUGGCAUUUCUUUUUUAACAGAGACCUUGAAUAUUUUGAUAUGUGUAGCAUAACAGGGGAAUUUACGACAACGAGAUAUGGAUUAGCCAACGGUGAUUUGAUAUUAUUACAUUACCGUGAAAAUGCGAGAUGUGUGUCCAAACCAAUUAAUUUGGAAAACAAUCGUUUGUUUGAGUGCAUACCAGUAAAGCAGGAAAUAAUGGUAAGGAUUUCAGGGGCUUCAAAAAUACAAAGAAAGAACAUUACAGUCGGUUGUAAAGUUGUUAUCGCUAUCUAGAUGCAUGCUUCAGCACAGAAAAAAAGAUGUUGGAUCAAAACUCGCAAAUACAACUUCUAUCAAUUAUUAAUGAUAUUAAUGGUUAUAUUUAUAAUGGCUAAUUUAUUUAUGAGUGAUGACGAAGAAUCAGAACUCAUUUUGUAUAGGUAUUCUAUUUGAUAGUUGUGAGUAUUGAGGCAGGAAAUAAAAAUUGUGC
rnacentral:lncRNA from 1 species